GAUGAAGAACGUAGCGAAAUGCGAUAAGUAAUGUGAAUUGCAGAAUUCAGUGAAUCAUCGAAUCUUUGAACGCACAUUGCGCCCCCUGGUAUUCCGGGGGGCAUGCCUGUCCGAGCGUCAUUACAACCCUCAAGCUCAGCUUGGUAUUGGGCCCCGCCGACCCGGCGGGCCCUAAAGUCAGUGGCGGUGCCGUCCGGCUCCGAGCGUAGUAAUUCUUCUCGCUCUGGAGGUCCGGUCGUGUGCUCGCCAGCAACCCCCAAUUUUUUUCAGGUUAACCUCGGAUCAGGUAGGGAUACCCGCUGAACUUAAGCAUAUCAAUAAGCGGAGGA
rnacentral:misc_RNA from 1 species